UACGAAGGAUGCGAGCGUUAUCCGGAUUUAUUGGGUUUAAAGGGUGCGUAGGCGGCCUUAUAAGUCAGUGGUGAAAUCCUAUCGCUUAACGAUAGACGUGCCAUUGAUACUGUAGGGCUUGAGUACAGAUGCCGUUGGCGGAAUGUGUCAUGUAGCGGUGAAAUGCAUAGAUAUGACACAGAACACCGAUUGCGAAGGCAGCUGACGAAACUGUAACUGACGCUGAGGCACGAAAGCGUGAGGAUCAAACAGG
rnacentral:rRNA from 1 species